rnacentral:rRNA from 1 species
CAUGGCUCAGAUUGAACGCUGGCGGCAGGCCUAACACAUGCAAGUCGAGCGGUAGCACAAGAGAGCUUGCUCUCUGGGUGACGAGCGGCGGACGGGUGAGUAAUGUCUGGGAAACUGCCUGAUGGCGGGGGAUAACUAGUGGAAACGGUAGCUAAUACCGCAUAACGUCGCAAGACCAAAGUGGGGGACCUUCGGGCCUCACGCCAUCAGAUGUGCCCAGGUGGGAUUAGCUGGUAGGUGGGGUAACGGCUCACCUAGGCGACGAUCCCUAGCUGGUCUGAGAGGAUGACCAGCCACACUGGAACUGAGACACGGUCCAGACUCCUACGGGAGGCAGCAGUGGGGAAUAUUGCACAAUGGGCGCAAGCCUGAUGCAGCCAUGCCGCGUGUGUGAAGAAGGCCUUCGGGUUGUAAAGCACUUUCAGCGAGGAGGAAGGGUAAUGUGUUAAUAAGACAUUGCA